CUCUGGGUAGUUUAAAGAAAAUAUGGCUUUGAAGCUGCUGAGUUGGUCGUUCAGGCCCCCGGAGG
rnacentral:tRNA from 1 species